GUUAGGAAUAUUGGACAAUGGGCGAAAGCCUGAUCCAGCCAUGCCGCGUGAACGAUGAAGGCCUUCGGGUUGUAAAGUUCUUUAGCCGAUGAUUAUAAUGACUGUAGUCGGAAAAUAAGCCCCGGCUAACUUCGUGCCAGCAGCCGCGGUAAUACGAAGGGGGCGAGCGUUAUUCGGAAUCACUGGGCGUAAAGCGUGCGUAGGCGGUUUUGUAAGUUAGGAGUGAAAGCCCAGGGCUCAACCUUGGAAUUGCUCUUAAAACUGCAAGGCUCGAAUAUCGGAGAGGAUAGCGGAACUUCCAGUGUAGCAGUGAAAUGCGUAGAUAUUGGAAGGAACACCAGUGGCGUAAGCGGCUAUCUGGACGAGUAUUGACGCUGAGGCACGAAAGCGUGGGGAUCAAACAGGAUUAGAUACCCCAGUAGUCC
rnacentral:rRNA from 1 species